GCUGGGCGUGGUGGCACACGCCUGUAAUCCCAGCUACUCAGGAAGCUGAGGCAGGAGAAUCGCUUGAACCCGGGAGGCGGAGGUUGCAGUGAGCCGAGAUCGCGCCACUGCACUCCAGCCUGGGUGACAGAGCGAGACUCUGUCUCAG
rnacentral:SRP_RNA from 1 species